UACGAAGGGUGCAAGCGUUGUUCGGAAUUAUUGGGCGUAAAGCGCGCGUAGGCGGCUUGGAAAGUCGGAUGUGAAAAUCCGGGGCUCAACCCCGGACCUGCAUCCGAUACUUCCAGGCUAGAGGUAGGUAGGGGAGAUCGGAAUUCCUGGUGUAGCGGUGAAAUGCGCAGAUAUCAGGAGGAACACCGGUGGCGAAGGCGGAUCUCUGGGCCUUACCUGACGCUGAGGCGCGAAAGCUAGGGGAGCGAACAGG
rnacentral:rRNA from 1 species